rnacentral:rRNA from 1 species
GACGAACGCUGGCGGCGUGCUUAACACAUGCAAGUCGAACGGAAAGGCCUCUUUCGGGGGGUACUCGAGUGGCGAACGGGUGAGUAACACGUGAGUAACCUGCCCUUGACUUUGGGAUAACUUCAGGAAACUGGGGCUAAUACCGGAUAGGAGCUCCUGCUGCAUGGUGGGGGUUGGAAAGUUUCGGCGGUUGGGGAUGGACUCGCGGCUUAUCAGCUUGUUGGUGGGGUAGUGGCUUACCAAGGCUUUGACGGGUAGCCGGCCUGAGAGGGUGACCGGCAACAUUGGGACUGAGAUACGGCCCAGACUCCUACGGGAGGCAGCAGUGGGGAAUAUUGCACAAGGGGUGGAAGCCUGAUGCAGCAACGCCGUGGGCGGGAGGACGGCCUUCGGGUUGGAAACCGCUUUCGCUCAUGACGAAGCUUUGUGUGACGGUAGUGGGUAAAGAAGCACCGGCUAACUACGUG